CCCACUUCCGGUUGCCGCGGACGGAAGAGGCGGUGCCUAGGGAGCCAUCCCUCCUCAGCUAUUGGAGGAAGGCCGGGAGCGAGGACCCGAGGGCAGGUCACGGCGCUGUUGGAGGCUCUAGGCUUGGUCUUCGGAUAAUUUAUCGCACGAUCUCUGUGCACCGGGCAUCUUGGUCAGUGCUUCACGUGCAAAUACAAAAUCUGAAACCGAAAGAAGUGAUCUGAAGUUACAGGAGCUUCGAAAACAAACUGGGCUGUACCCUAGCUGUGCUCUCAAGCCUGAGUACAGGAGGUGGAUGUGAUGGGGAGAGAAAUCUCCGGGAGCAUUCCAGUGAGGAGAACAGAAGAUGCAGAGCCUCUGGGUGGGAGACUCUGCGGGAGCACCCCAGGAGAAGAAGGUGGAAGUUGGGGAACAGAGGGCCUGAUAAAAAUGAGGGUAGAAAGGGGGCGGGGGCCAAAUCAUACCUUGGGAGCUGGGUAAGAACUUCAGUCUGUCCUAAGGGUAGGGGGAGACUUUUGCAAGGUUUGCAGAGGGGGGACAUUUCAACUGUUUUAAAAUAACCUUCCAGGCAUCUGGGUGGCUCAGUGGUUGAGCAUCUGCCUUUGGCUCAGUUUGUAAUCCCCAGGUCCUGGGAUCAAGUCCUGAAUCAGGCUCCCUGCAAGAGCCUGCUUCUCCCUCUGUCUACAUCUCUGCCUUUUUCUGUGUCUCUCAUGAAUAAAUAAAUCUUUAUAAAUAAAUAAAUAAAUAAAUAAAUAAAUAAAUAAAUCCUUACUGGGGCAUCUGGGUGGCUCAGUUGGUUGAGCAACAGGUUAAUUUUGGCCCAAGUUGUGAUGUCAGGGUCCUGAGAUCAGGCUCCAAGCUCAGUGGGUGUCUGCUUGAGAUUCUCUCUCCCUCUCCCUGUGCCCUCUCCUCCAUUCUUGCACGAACACUCAUAAAUAAAUCUAAAAAAAAAAAAAAAACCAAAACCAAAAAACCCCUAAAAAGGUAAAGUAUCCUUACUUGCUGCAGUGUGAAUGAUUUGAAGGGGAUCAAGGAAGAAAAUGGGAGACCACUGGAGCCUGUUACAAAAGCUCCAGAGAAAUGGAGUAAAGCAGAUGUCCCAGACUUUCUUUUUCUUUCUUUCUUUUUUUUUUUUUUUUAAGAUUUUAUAUAUUCAUGAAAGACCAAGGCAGAGAGAGAAACAGGCUCCGCACAGGAAGCCCGAUGCUGGACUCGAUCCCAGGUCUCCAGGAUCACACCCUGGGCCAAAGGCGGCGCUAAACCGCUGAGCCACUCAGGCUGCCCUCCCAGACUGUCUAAACCACACUUCCAAAUUGAACUCAGCAUUGGUAGGCGUAUGGUGGGGUAGCCUGAUAGUUGGUGGUGGAAUGCCAGAAUGAUUAAGAGCUAGUUCAGGGUGCCUGCUUGGCAUAGUAGGUUAGGCUCUUGAUUUUUUGGCUUGGGCCAUGACCUCAGGGUUCUGAGAAUGAAUUCUGGGUCAGGCUCUGCACUCAGUGAAGAGUCUUCUUGAGACUCUCCCUUUUCCUCUGCCCCUUCCCCAGCUCAUUUUCUUUCUCUCUCUUUCUAAAACAAGUAAAAUCUAAAAGAAGGAAAAGAAAGAAAAAGAGCCAGGAAUUCAACUGCCAUCUUUAUAUCCAGGUCCCACCACUUCCUACUUGUUUAUUUUAAUAUAGUUUUCUUUUUAAAAUCUUAUUUAUUUUUUAAAAUUUUAUUUAUUCAUGAGAGACAGAGAGAAAGAGACAGAGGCAGAGACAGGCAGAGGGAGAAGCAGGCUCCAUGCUGGGAAAGCAAUGUGGGAUUUGGUCCUGGGACUCCAGGAUCACACCCUGAGCCAAAAGCAGUUCAACUGCUGAGCCACCCAGGUGUCCCCUAGCUGUUUUCUUUAAGUAAGUCCCUUAAGUUACAUGUUUGUGCCUCAGUUUCGUCUGUAAAAUGGGGAUAACAACAACAAACCCCUAACUCAUAGGGUUGUAGCCAGAACUGAAUGAGUUCUUGGCACAGUGCCUCCUUCCCUAAAAUGGGCCCUCUCCUGUGUUUCCCGUUUCAAGGAUACCAUUGCCAUCCACUGAAAUACUCAAGCAAGAAGUUGGACAUUGUUCUUCAUUCUGUCCCAUAUUCAAAUAGUCACUGAUUUGGAUUCAUCUCUCAUUUAAGCUAAUUUUGCAACCCUCAAAAUCUUCCACCACCACCACUACUCUCUGGUCCCCGUACCUGCUUCCUCUCUGCUUGCCUGCCCCCUACAUCUCUCACUCUGGCCUUGGCUUCAUUGUGCAGUCUGUCUCUGGAUAGCCCUGAGCCAUUUCAAUGUAUUAGGCACUGUUCCAGGACCCUGGCAAAGUGAAGACAAAUGAGACACAGCCCUGGUCAUCACAGAACACAAAGGAAUCCUGGGGCAAAUGGAAAGGCCCCACAUUUACCCUGCUGUGUGGGUUGGUCACUUCCCCUCUCUGGAAUUCAGUUUCCCCCAUCAAUAAAGAAUGUUGGGGACCAAA